rnacentral:sRNA from 1 species
UAGCAUCGGCCUAACUCGGGGGUGGGACCAGUAUUAAUUGUUAAAGCCUCUGGGAAAGGGCUCUUGUGACAAAAGGAGUCUGUUGGAAAAGCGCAUUUUUCAGGUGUCUGAGGGAAGGAUGACCUCGAAAAUAAAUGGUGCUGGAGAAAAGCUCCAGGGAAUGGAGGAGCUUUCAGAGAGACAGGAUGCCAUCCUGAGAAACCCAAGGAGGGCACUGCUCAGAGACCGCAGUUGCCUCCCGCAGCUCGGAUUCUGAAGGUAAUUUUGAGACCCCUGAAGCUGAAACCCCGAUCCGAUCACCUUUCAAGGAGUCCUGUGAUCCAUCACUCGGAUUGGCAGGACCUGGGGCCAAAAGCCAAGAAUCACAAGAAGCUGAUGAACAGCUUGUAGCAGAAGUGGUUGAAAAAUGUUCAUCUAAGACUUGUUCUAAACCUUCAGAAAAUGAAGUGCCACAGCAGGCCAUUGACUCUCACUCAGUCAAGAAUUUCAAAGAAGAACCUGAACAUGAUUUUAGCAAAAUUUCCAUCGUGAGGCCAUUUUCAAUAGAAACGAAGGAUUCCACGGAUAUCUCGGCAGUCCUCGGAACAAA